GACGAACGCUGGCGGCGUGCUUAACACAUGCAAGUCGAACGGAAAGGCCCUGCUUUUGUGGGGUGCUCGAGUGGCGAACGGGUGAGUAACACGUGAGUAACCUGCCCUUGACUUUGGGAUAACUUCAGGAAACUGGGGCUAAUACCGGAUAAGAGCUCCUGCUGCAUGGUGGGGGUUGGAAAGUUUCGGCGGUUGGGGAUGGACUCGCGGCUUAUCAGCUUGUUGGUGGGGUAGUGGCUUACCAAGGCUUUGACGGGUAGCCGGCCUGAGAGGGUGACCGGCCACAUUGGGACUGAGAUACGGCCCAGACUCCUACGGGAGGCAGCAGUGGGGAAUAUUGCACAAUGGGCGGAAGCCUGAUGCAGCAACGCCGCGUGCGGGAUGACGGCCUUCGGGUUGUAAACCGCUUUCGCCUGUGACGAAGCGUGAGUGACGGUAAUGGAUAAAGAAGCACCGGCUAACUACGUG
rnacentral:rRNA from 1 species